CUGCUUUAUUUUUAUCGCUGCAGUGAAACUACGACCCAAAUUUACAGAAACUGUAAAAGGGAAGUUGAGGCUAGGGGCAAGAAUCCUUCAUGUGGGCGGCGUGGAAAAAGUUUUCAAGCAGAUCUUCAAAAUUUCCCAUGGUGAAAAGCUAUUAAAGACUUCUCAAUGCUAUUUAUCGACAACAACUGGACUGAUAGCAGGCCUCCUCUUUAUUUCCACUGAUAAAAUUUCCUUUUGCAGUGAGAGAUCAAUUGAACUCUCUUCUCCAUAAGGAAAACUGCUUAAAAUACAUUACAAAGUCGUAAUCCCUCUAGGCAAAAUGAAGAGAGCGAACGAAAGUGAAAAUGCAAGAAAACCAAAGCAAAAGUAUGUGCAAAUAGUUACCAAGGACAAUUUCGAGUUCUGGUUCAUGGGAUUUCUAAAUCAUCAAAAAGCUUUCAAGUAUUUGCAGCAGGCAACCUCUCAAGCUCCAUCAGGAGGUGGUAUAGAUGCAUGGAUGAUCUCUCCAUAGAAGCUACAUAUAAAAUCACUAUAAACCUGUAAAAUUUUGUAACUAUAAACUGUUUGUUUAUUAUAUGCCCCGGCAUACCCUAAUUAUGAACAUAUGUAAAUUAGCUAAACUUGCGAAGAUAGAAAGACAGUUUUGGAACGA